CCUGGCUCAGAACGAACGUUAGCGGCGCGCUUAACACAUGCAAGUCGUGCGAGAAAGGGAGCAAUCCCCGGUAAAGCGGCGCACGGGUGAGUAACACGUAGGUAACGUGCCCCCAGGUGGUGGAUAACCUUCCGAAAGGAGGGCUAAUACAGCAUAAGACCACGGCUCCGAAAGGGGCUGAGGUCAAAGUCGGCCUCUAUUCAUAAGCUGACGCCAGGGGAUCGGCCUGCGGCCCAUCAGGUAGUUGGUAGGGUUAACGGCCUACCAAGCCAAAGACGGGUAGCUGGUCUGAGAGGAUGAUCAGCCACACUGGAACUGAGACACGGUCCAGACUCCUACGGGAGGCAGCAGUGGGGAAUCUUGCGCAAUGGCGAAAGCCUGACGCAGCGACGCCGCGUGGGUGAUG
rnacentral:rRNA from 1 species